rnacentral:tRNA from 1 species
GUUCUUGUAGUGAAUUGACAACGACGGCUUUUCAGGCCGUAGGUCUUGGAGGAGUCCAAGUAAGAACU